rnacentral:tRNA from 1 species
UUUGAAGGUGUAGCUCAAUGAUAGAGCACAUGCUUAAAAUGCUCAAGGCCCAGGGUUCAAUCCCCAGCACCAAAG